AUGUUGCUAUUCCAUGACCACUUGUCCUCCUUAUUUCAAUCAAACACUACAAAUUUCCUCUCUUUCUUCAAUCAACACAACCCUCCACCUUCACCUCUACCUCAACAACGCUCUGCAAUCUCCCUCCCUCUCUUCUUCGCGCUACUGCUAUCUAUUGUGAUGUUCAAAUUCACUGUCGAGCCAACUUUCCCUUCUGCCAAAUUCGCUCUAUGUUGCUACUUCAUCGCAAAUACUUCAAUUCAACAACACAACUGUUCACGACUCUGA